GACGAACGCUGGCGGCGUGCUUAACACAUGCAAGUCGAACGGUAAGGCCCUUCGGGGUACACGAGUGGCGAACGGGUGAGUAACACGUGGGUGAUCUACCCUGCACUUCGGGAUAAGCCUGGGAAACUGGGUCUAAUACCGGAUAGGACCACUGCCUGCAUGGGUGGUGGUGGCAAGCUUUUGCGGUGUGGGAUGGGCCCGAGGCCUAUCAGCGUGUUGGUGGGGUGAUGGCCUACCAAGGCGACGACGGGUAGCCGGCCUGGGAGGGUGACCGGCCACACUGGGACUGCGAUACGGCCCAGACUCCUACGGGAGGCAGCAGUGGGGAAUAUUGCACAAUGGGCGCAAGCCUGAUGCAGCGACGCCGCGUGAGGGAUGACGGCCUUCGGGUUGUAAACCUCUUUCAGCACCGACGAAGCGCAAGUGACGGUAGGUGCAGAAGAAGGACCGGCCAACUACGUGCCAGCCGCCGCGGUAA
rnacentral:rRNA from 1 species